GACGGAAGGUGCAAGCGUUGCUCGGAAUCACUGGGCGUAAAGGGUGCGUAGGCGGCCGUGCAAGUCUGGCGUGAAAGCCCCGGGCUCAGCCCGGGAAGUGCGCUCGAAACUGCGCGGCUCGAGUGCCGGAGGGGAGAGUGGAAUUCCUGGUGUAGCGGUGAAAUGCGUAGAUAUCGUUUGGAACGCCAAUGGUGAAAACAGGUCGCUGGGGAUGCGCUGACGCUGAGACACGAAAGCCAGGGGAGCAAACGGG
rnacentral:rRNA from 1 species